AAGUCGUAACAAGGUCUCCGUUGGUGAACCAGCGGAGGGAUCAUUACCGAGUUACCAACUCCAAACCCUUGUGAUUUUUGUAUCUGUUGCUUCGGCAGGCGGGCCCAGGGCGGGCUCUAUCAUGCCUGCCGAAAGACCAAACUCUUCUAUCCUGCCCUCUGAAGAAAAGACAAAUAGUUAAAACUUUCAACAACGGAUCUCUUGGUUCUGGCAUCGAUGAAGAACGCAGCGAAAUGCGAUAAGUAAUGUGAAUUGCAGAAUUCAGUGAAUCAUCGAAUCUUUGAACGCACAUUGCGCCCGCUAGUAUCCUGGCGGGCAUGCCUGUUCGAGCGUCAUUUCAACCCUCAGGACCUCCUGGUGUUGGGGCGUUAGGGAAACCUAAGCCCUCAAAGUCAGUGGCGGGCUCUGUCACACACCGAGCGUAGUAAUCUCUCGCUUAGGGGUGUGUCGGGGCGCGGCCUACUUAUACUUUUAUCAAGUUGACCUCGGAUCAGGUAGGAAUACCCGCUGAACUUAAGCAUAUCAAUAAGCGGAGGAAAAGAAACCAACAGGGAUUGCCCUAGUAACGGCGAGUGAAGCGGCAACAGCUCAAAUUUGAAAUCUGGCUUCGGCCCGAGUUGUAAUUUGUAGAGGAUGCUUUUGGCGCGGCCCCUUCUAAGUUCCCUGGAACGGGACGCCACAGAGGGUGAGAGCCCCGUACAGUUGGACGCCAAGCCUGUGUAAAGCUCCUUCGACGAGUCGAGUAGUUUGGGAAUGCUGCUCUAAAUGGGAGGUAAAUGUCUCCUAGAGCUAAAUACCGGCCAGAGACCGAUAGCGCACAAGUAGAGUGAUCGAAAGAUGAAAAGCACUUUGAAAAGAGGGUUAAAUAGUACGUGAAAUUGUUGAAAGGGAAGCGCCUGUGACCAGACUUGUGCCCGGUUGAUCAUCCAGCGUUCUCGCUGGUGCACUCUUCCGGCCCAGGCCAGCAUCGGUUUUCGCGGGUGGAUAAAGACGGCGGGAAUGUAGCUCUUCGGAGUGUUAUAGCCCGCCGUGGAAUGCUCCCGUGGGGACCGAGGUACGCGCUCCGCAAGGAUGCUGGCGUAAUGGUCAUCAGCGACC
rnacentral:rRNA from 1 species